rnacentral:lncRNA from 11 species
UCUACUUGACGGAUUUUCACAGUUAUAGUCUGGAAAAGUAAUUUUUAGAAGUUCUUUCUUGUUGAUGGUAGUAAUGAGGCGAAUUAGAAGACCAGAAGACGAUUUUAUUUAUUAUUUACCACCAUUCUCCCAGGGGAGGACCCAAGGUGACGAGGUUUUGGUCAAGGAUUGGAAGAUUGAGCCAUUGGGACCCAAGUGGCGAGGACCCUAUGUUGUGCUCCUGUCUACCCCCACUGCAGUGAAGGUGAAGGAGAUUAAGCCGUGGAUACAUUACACCCGUGUAAAACUAGCGCCUGAGGAGUGGCGGACGGAGCGAGUUCCUGGUGAGGACCUGAGACUCAGGAUCAUCCGGCAACUCCCUGAGGGGUCAACAAGGCCAUGAAGCUGAUCCCUUCGGGUGCAACGGAGCGUCGGUGGUCAAGUAUGUCGCAGCAUGGCCCAACAAAGGCGCUCUCCGGGAGAUGGUGGCUAGACAUUUUGAGAGGAAAAAGUGGGAGACAAGUUAUGAGGAGGGGAGGAAAGCGUACUGUGUUUGGUAUAUUAUUUGUGCUGAGUUUUAUUCUUUCUUUUGGAAAAAG